AUCCCAAUUCAGCUCACGAAAAUGAGUAAGCAAGCAAACAUCAUCAGGGAAGUAUAAUAAAUAACUAUGGUUGAUCAACUGACGCAAGUCUUUCACAUUACAUGGUGAAACAAGUCUACCAGGUACCAUUUAGAGGGCCACAUCUGAGGAGAUCAAGAUUGACAUAAUUUCAGAUUAGUUGGCACUUGGCAUGUUAAAUGGAGAUAAUUUUCUCCAUUUUGAUAAUUUUGAUAUAAACACCAUCUGAAACAGCGAGGAAGUAAUGAUGGCACAUUUGAUUUCCACUUUCUUUAAAAUGUGAUCCAACUCAAGCAUCAAAGUACCUUAGUUCAAUCACUAAAACAA
rnacentral:misc_RNA from 1 species